rnacentral:rRNA from 1 species
UUUAAUUGAAGAGUUUGAUCAUGGCUCAGAUUGAACGCUGGCGGCAGGCCUAACACAUGCAAGUCGAGCGGCAGCACAAGUAAGUUUACUUAUGAGGUG